CCUACGGGCCGCACCAGUGGGAACAUUGGACAAUGGGCGAAAGCCUGAUCCAGCAAUGCCGCGUGUGUGAAGAAGGUCUUCGGAUUGUAAAGCACUUUCGACGGGGACGAUGAUGACGGUACCCGUAGAAGAAGCCCCGGCUAACUUCGUGCCAGCAGCCGCGGUAAUACGAAGGGGGCUAGCGUUGCUCGGAAUGACUGGGCGUAAAGGGCGCGUAGGCGGUUUAUGCAGUCAGAUGUGAAAUCCCCGGGCUUAACCUGGGAACUGCAUUUGAGACGCAUAGACUAGAGGUCGAGAGAGGGUUGUGGAAUUCCCAGAGUAGAGGUGGAAUUCGUAGGUAUUGGGAAGAACACCGGUGGUGAAGGCGGCAACCUGGCUCGAUACUGACGCUGAGGCGCGAAAGCGUGGGAAGCAAACAGGAUUAGAUACCCUCGUAGUC
rnacentral:rRNA from 1 species